UACGUAGGGUGCUAGCGUUGUCCGGAUUUAUUGGGCGUAAAGGGCUCGUAGGCGGCGUGUCGCGUCGGGGAGUGAAAGCCCGCUGCUUAACGGCGGGUUGGCUUCCGGUACGGGCAUCGCUGGAGUGCGGCAGGGGAGACUGGAAUUCCUGGUGUAGCGGUGGAAUGCGCAUAUAUCAGGAGGAACACCGGUGGUGUAGACGGCUUUCUGGACCGUAACUGACGCUGAGACACGAAAGCGUGGGUAGCAAACAGG
rnacentral:rRNA from 1 species